GCGGCGAUGGUGAAAUUGGCAGACACGCUAGGUUCAGGUCCUAGUGCCCUUAACAGGCAUGGAGGUUCAAGUCCUCUUCGCCGCA
rnacentral:tRNA from 6 species